GUUUAGGGGUAAACCUGAGAAACCCGAAAGGUCGAAGGAAGAAAUUCAUUCGUGUAUCGUUAUUGACUAGAUUGUGUAUGAUUGACGAUAAAUAAGUCAUAUCGGCUAUAUGUUGUUUACUGAUUUAUAUGUUGCUACAUAUCUGUCUAUAGUUGGAUAAUGGACACGUGCAUUUUUUUUCUGGUAGGACGUUGCGAUCCGUUAGGAUAAUUAUUGGUCUAUGGUGAUCUACGGUUAUAAGUUCAUUGAUACAUAUAUAUAUUUUAUGUAUGUUAAUAUUAAUGAAACCGUUCAUUCUGAUCAAUUGACCUGACGGUAUAUUAAAGGUUAAAAGUCGCUAUAAAUUUAGCGUUAGAAGCAAGACAAAUAUAUGAAUCGUGUAAAGACCCUAUAAUUAUUAUUUAUAAUGAUAAUAGAGUUCUCGGUAAUCGAUAUUUAUAUCAAUUCCGAGCCGUUUAUAUAUUGUUAGUCGAGCAUAACUCUAACUGACUUUAUUACUAUAAGUAAAACUGAUCUGCAACGCUAUAGCUUUGGGUAAUUUCAGGACCCGUCUUGAAACACGGACCAAGGAGUCUAGCAUGUUCGCAAGCCAUUGGGAUAAUAAAACCUAUAGGCACAAUGAAAGUAAAAAUCAAUUUAUCUAUUGUAAAUUGAGGGGAAGAUAAAUGAUUAUGUUUACAUAUUAAUUUAUGUGUAUGCAAUAUUAUUUCGCAUUCCCGGGGCGUUUAAAUUUCAUUUGUUUGUUUACAUUCAAAUGAGAUUAUGCGCACCAAGAG
rnacentral:rRNA from 1 species